rnacentral:rRNA from 1 species
UCCGGUUGAUCCCGCCGGAGGUCACUGCUAUCAGAUUCCGACUAAGCCAUGCAAGUCAUCCUCCGCAAGGGGGAGGCGAACAGCUCAGUAACAUAUGGUGAAUGUGCCGCAAGGACGGGAAUAACCUCGGGAAACUGAGGAUAAUGCCUGGUAUGUGGUCCGUGCUGGAAUGCUAGACCAUUGAAAGACGCAAGUCGCCUUACGAUCGCACCAUAACUCAUCAGGCAGUUGGCGGGGUAACGGCCCACCAAACCUACAACGAGUACGGGUUGUGAGAGCAAGAGCCCGGAGAUGGGGACUGAGACAAUGCCCCAGGCCCUACGGGGCGCAGCAGGCGCGGAAACUUUGCAAUGCGCGAAAGCGUGACAAGGGGAAUCUGAGUGUUCAAGUUUACUUGAACUUUUCUUGAGACUAAAAAACUCAAGGAAUAAAGGCCGGGCAAGACCGGUGCCAGCAGCCGCGGUAACACCGGCGGCCUGAGUGGUGGCCACACUUACUGGGUUUGAAGGGUUCGUAGUCGGACUAGAAAAUCUUGGGUGAAAUCCUAGAGCUUAACUUUAGGGCGCGCCUUGGACACUACUAGUCUUGGGACCGGGAGAGGAGAAGGGAACUCUAUGGGUAGGGGCUAAAUCCUAUAAUCCAUGGAUGACCACCGGUAGCGAAGGCGCUUCUCUGGAACGGGUCCGACGGUGAGGAACGAAGCCCAAGGUAGCGAACGGGAUUAGAUACCCCGGUAGUCUUGGGUGUAAACGAUGUAGGCUAACUGUUGCUGUUGCCAAGAGCGAUAGCAGUGGUGAAGGGAAACCGUUAAGCCUACCACCUGGGGAGUACGGUCGCAAGACUGAAACUUAAAGGAAUUGGCGGGGGGGCACCACAAGGGGUGAAGCUUGCGGUUCAAAUGGAUUCAACGCCGG